rnacentral:rRNA from 1 species
UUGACCUCGGAUCAGGUAGGAAUACCCGCUGAACUUAAGCAUAUCAAAAGGGCGGAGGAAGG